rnacentral:hammerhead_ribozyme from 1 species
AUCCAGCUGACGAGUCCCAAACAGGACGAAAGGUUAAUCGCGGAU